rnacentral:pre_miRNA from 1 species
AACCCUGUAGAUCCGAAUUUGUGUAAGUUGUAAAUUCUGUCACAAGUUCGAAUCUCACGGUACC